rnacentral:rRNA from 1 species
UCACUUAUAGAUGGAUCCGCGCUGCAUUAGCUAGUUGGUAAGGUAACGGCUUACCAAGGCAACGAUGCAUAGCCGACCUGAGAGGGUGAUCGGCCACACUGGAACUGAGACACGGUCCAGACUCCUACGGGAGGCAGCAGUAGGGAAUCUUCCGCAAUGGGCGAAAGCCUGACGGAGCAACGCCGCGUGAGUGAUGAAGGUCUUCGGAUCGUAAAACUCUGUUAUUAGGGAAGAACAUAUGUGUAAGUAACUGUGCACAUCUUGACGGUACCUAAUCAGAAAGCCACGGCUAACUACGUGCCAGCAGCCGCGGUAAUACGUAGGUGGCAAGCGUUAUCCGGAAUUAUUGGGCGUAAAGCGCGCGUAGG